rnacentral:rRNA from 1 species
GACGAACCGUACGAACGUUAUUCGGAAUUACUGGGCGUAAAGCGCGUGUAGGCGGCAAUGCAAGUCGGGCGUGAAAUCCCACGGCUCAACCGUGGAAGUGCACUCGAAACUGCAUAGCUAGAGUCCUGGAGAGGAAGGUGGAAUGCUUGGUGUAGAGGUGAAAUUCGUAGAUAUCAAGCGGAACACCGGUGGCGAAGGCGGCCUUCUGGACAGUGACUGACGCUGAGACGCGAAAGCGUGGGGAGCAAACAGG